rnacentral:snoRNA from 1 species
AUUCAGUAUUUAUCACGCUUGGGUAUUUGCUGUUGCCUUAGUGUGCUAGAGCCCUCGACAAGCAACUGCUACCCUUAUUCACUGACUGUGGGCCCCGCUACCCUUAUUCACUGACUGUGGGCCCCUGAGGCACAGUCAGUCACCAGGCUAGUGACACCA